UCAGUCAGCAGAGGAAAGGAAAUCAACAGAGACUGUCAUAGUAACGGCGAGUGAAGUGACACCAGUUCAAAUUUGAAAUCUGAAUAACAGAGUUGUAAUUUGUAGAGCAUGUUUGUGCUUGAUAUAGUCAUCCAAAUACAUUGGAAUUUGUUGUCAUUGAGGGUGAUAGCCCCGUAAGUGAUGAUCUUAUAUUAGGCAAAUCAAACUGCAUCAAAGAGUCGAGUUGUUUGGGAAUGCAGCUCUAAAUGGGAGGUAAAUUCCUUCUAAAACUAAGUAUUAGCCAGAGACCGAUAGCGAACAAGUAGAGUGAUCGAAAGAUGAAAAGUACUUUGGAAAGAGAGUUAAAAAGUAUGUGAAAUUGUUGAAAGGGAACCAUUUGCAAUCAGAUUCAGGGAGUUGGCUCAUCCUGGUCUCAGGCCAUGGAGUGUACUGGCUGUUCUGGGCCAAUAUCAGUUUGGGUGAUAAGAAGCAGUUCAAGGGAAUGUGACUCAAUCUCAUUGAGUGUUAUAGCCCUAGUUCUAUCAUUGUCAUGCCCAGACUGAGGACUACAUUUUUAAGGAUAUUGGCAUAAUGGUUGUCAGUGACCCGUCUUGAAACACGGACCAAGGAGUCUAAUGUCUAUGCAAGUAUUUGGGUAUCAAGCCCAAAUGCAAAAUGAAAGUAAAUGUAGGUGGGAUCCUUUUGAUAUGAAGGUGCACCAUUGACCAAUCUAAAUGUUUUCGGAUGGAUUUGAGUAAGAGCAUAGCUGUUGGGACCCGAAAGAUGGUGAACUAUGCCUGCUUAGGCCGAAGUCAGGGGAAACCCUGAUGGAAGGUCGCAGCGGUUCUGACGUGCAAAUCGAUCGUCAAAAGUGGGUAUAGGG
rnacentral:rRNA from 1 species